CAAAGAUCACCAUCAAUGACUCGACUUGAUAUCUUUGAUUCUUUCAUUAGCUGACUCCCGCAGAUCCAACCUUACUUUUGUAUUAUCCCGCAAUGAUGGCUAGUCAAACAUUCCUUACUUCGAACCCGCAUUGUCCAACAGCCGAACAUUCCUUAAUUGGUCUUGCAGUCUUGAUCUUUCCUUACGUAUGCUCUGAACGUUCCAUGAUCAGUUUAUCAUCGCUCCGCCAGUUCUGAAUUUAUUCCAUGGGCUCACUUAGGAUCCCACACAUAGUCAAGAUAUGUUUUUAUACCCAAACUUCACGAUUACAAGUGUUUACACACUUAGAAAAGCACUCUCCUUGUAGAAUAAAACCUCUCGCAUUUUAUUUCCUUCAAAUUUUAAAAUACUCCGG
rnacentral:lncRNA from 1 species